UGGGGAAUAUUGGACAAUGGGCGAAAGCCUGAUCCAGCCAUGCCGCGUGUGUGAAGAAGGCCUUUUGGUUGUAAAGCACUUUAAGUGGGGAGGAAAAGCUUAUGGUUAAUACCCAUAAGCCCUGACGUUACCCACAGAAUAAGCACCGGCUAACUCUGUGCCAGCAGCCGCGGUAAUACAGAGGGUGCAAGCGUUAAUCGGAAUUACUGGGCGUAAAGCGCGCGUAGGUGGUUAUUUAAGUCAGAUGUGAAAGCCCCGGGCUUAACCUGGGAACUGCAUCUGAUACUGGAUAACUAGAGUAGGUGAGAGGGGAGUAGAAUUCCAGGUGUAGCGGUGAAAUGCGUAGAGAUCUGGAGGAAUACCGAUGGCGAAGGCAGCUCCCUGGCAUCAUACUGACACUGAGGUGCGAAAGCGUGGGUAGCAAACAGGAUUAGAUACCCUGGUAGUCCACGCCGUAAACGAUGUCUACCAGUCGUUGGGUCUUUUAAAGACUUUAGUGACGCAGUUAACGCAAUAAGUAGACCCGCCUGGGGAGUACGGCCGCAAGGUUAA
rnacentral:rRNA from 1 species